UACGGGGGGGGUAAGCGUUGUUCGGAAUUACUGGGCGUAAAGGGCUCGUAGGCGGCCAACUAAGUCAGACGUGAAAUCCCUCAGCUUAACUGGGGAGCUGCGUCUGAUACUGGAUGGCUUGGAUCCGGAAGAGGGAUGCGGAAUUCCAGGUGUAGCGGUGAAAUGCGUAGAUAUCUGGAGGAACACCGGUGGCGAAGGCGGCAUCCUGGGCCGGUAUUGACGCUGAGGAGCGAAAGCCAGGGGAGCAAACGGG
rnacentral:rRNA from 1 species